GGGCCCGCACAAGCGGUGGAGCAUGUGGUUUAAUUCGAUGAUACGCGAGGAACCUUACCAGGGCUUAAAUGUAGUAUGACCGGUCUGGAAACAGACCUUCCCUUCGGGGCAGAUUACAAGGUGCUGCAUGGUUGUCGUCAGCUCGUGCCGUGAGGUGUUAGGUUAAGUCCUGCAACGAGCGCAACCCCUAUUCUUAGUUGCCAGCGGUUCGGCCGGGGACUCUAAGAAGACUGCCAGCGCAAGCUGAGAGGAAGUGGGAUGACGUCAAUCAUCACGGCCCUUACGUCCUGGGCUACACACGUGCUACAAUGGUAGAGACAGAGGGCAGCCACCUGGCGACAGGGAGCGAAUCCUUAAACUCUAUCUC
rnacentral:rRNA from 1 species